AGGUAGCCUAGUGGUUAGAGGAGGCAGGUAGCCUAGUGGUUAGAGGAGGCAGGUAGCCUAGUGGUUUGAGGAGGCAGGUAGCCUAGUGGUUAGAGGAGGCAGGUAGCCUAGUGGUUAGAGGAGGCAGGUAGCCUAGUGGUUAGAGGAGGCAGGUGGCCUAGUGGUUAGAGGAGGCAGGUGGCCUAGUGGUUAGAGGAGGCAGGUAGCCUAGUGGUUAGAGGAGGCAGGUAGCCUAGUGGUUAGAGGAGGCAGGUAGCCUAGUGGUUAGAGGCAGGUAGCCUAGUGGUUAGAGGAGGCAGGUAGCCUAGUGGUUAGAGGAGGCAGGUAGCCUAGUGGUUAGAGGAGGCAGGUAGCCUAGUGGUUAGAGGAGGCAGGUAGCCUAGUGGUUAGAGGAGGCAGGUAGCCUAGUGGUUAGAGGAGGCAGGUAGCCUAGUGGUUAGAGGCAGGUAGCCUAGUGGUUAGAGGAGGCAGGUAGCCUAGUGGUUAGAGGAGGCAGGUAGCCUAGUGGUUAGAGGAGGCAGGUAGCCUAGUGGUUAGAGGAGGCAGGUAGCCUAGUGGUUAGAGGAGGCAGGUAGCCUAGUGGUUAGAGGAGGCAGGUAGCCUAGUGGUUAGAGGAGGCAGGUAGCCUAGUGGUUAGAGGAGGCAGGUAGCCUAGUGGUUAGAGGAGGCAGGUAGCCUAGUGGUUUGA